UACGUAGGGUGCAAGCGUUAAUCGGAAUUACUGGGCGUAAAGCGUGCGCAGGCGGUUAUUCAAGACAGAUGUGAAAUCCCCGGGCUCAACCUGGGAACUGCAUUUGUGACUGCAUAGCUGGAGUGCGGCAGAGGGGGAUGGAAUUCCGCGUGUAGCAGUGAAAUGCGUAGAUAUGCGGAGGAACACCGAUGGCGAAGGCAAUCCCCUGGGCCUGCACUGACGCUCAUGCACGAAAGCGUGGGGAGCAAACAGG
rnacentral:rRNA from 1 species